CCCGGCACAAGCGGUGGAGCAUGUGGUUUAAUUCGAAGCAACGCGAAGAACCUUACCAGGUCUUGACAUCCCGAUGCUAUUUCUAGAGAUAGAAAGUUACUUCGGUACAUCGGUGACAGGUGGUGCAUGGUUGUCGUCAGCUCGUGUCGUGAGAUGUUAGGUUAAGUCCCGCAACGAGCGCAACCCCUAUUGUUAGUUGCCAUCAUUCAGUUGGGCACUCUAGCGAGACUGCCGGUAAUAAACCGGAGGAAGGUGGGGAUGACGUCAAAUCAUCAUGCCCCUUAUGACCUGGGCUACACACGUGCUACAAUGGUCGGUACAACGAGAAGCAAGCCAGCGAUGGCAAGCAAAUCUCUAAAAGCCGAUCCCAGUUCGGAUUGCAGGCUGCAACUCGCCUGCAUGAAGUCGGAGUUGCUAGUAAUCGCGGAUCAGAAUGCCGCGGUGAAUGCGUUCCCGGGUCUU
rnacentral:rRNA from 1 species